UACAGAGGUCUCAAGCGUUGUUCGGAUUCAUUGGGCGUAAAGGGUGCGUAGGCGGCGCGGUAAGUCGGGUGUGAAAUCUCGGGGCUUAACUCAGAAACUGCCAUGGAUACUAUUUGUCUUGAAUGUUGUGGAGGUAAGCGGAAUAUGUCAUGUAGCGGUGAAAUGCUUAGAUAUGACAUAGAACACCAAUUGCGAAGGCAGCUUACUACACAAAUAUUGACGCUGAGGCACGAAAGCGUGGGGAUCAAACAGG
rnacentral:rRNA from 1 species